rnacentral:misc_RNA from 1 species
AAGUCGUAACAAGGUUUCCGUAGGUGAACCUGCGGAAGGAUCAUUAGCGAGAUUGCCGUGCGCGCCAGACCCGCAAAGGUUUGUGCGCGUGCGAGCAAGCGCCAUCCUUGUGUUAUGUGUGUGAUGUCGCGUGUGCCCACACUUCUCUCGGGGGGAGUGAGCACGUGCGCACAUUUUUUUCACCCAUUAUUCGCAUUUUAUUCUAAUCCACUGCUCAUACGAGCACAAACAACCGAAAACUGCCAGCAAUGGAUCACUCGGUUCUC